rnacentral:rRNA from 1 species
UACAGAGGGUGCUAGCGUUAAUCGGAUUUACUGGGCGUAAAGCGUGUGUAGGCGGUUUGUUAAGUCGGGUGUGAAAUCCCUGGGCUCAACCUGGGAAUUGCAUUCGAUACUGGCAGGCUAGAGUACGGUAGAGGGCGGCGGAAUUCCGGGUGUAGCGGUGAAAUGCGUAGAUAUCCGGAGGAACACCUGUGGCGAAAGCGGCGCACUGGACCACAACUGACGCUGAGGCGCGAAAGCUAGGGGAGCAAACAGG